rnacentral:lncRNA from 1 species
GCGCGCAUCCAAGCAGCCAAGGCCGGCGGCGCGGUUCGAGGUUACUCUCGCUUCUGCUCCGACUGCCCCUCCUCCACGAGGCGCACGCGGCCGCUCCGGACCCUCUUCGCGGCGGACGCGCACCACCUGUUCGACCGUUGGCCGGACCAGCCCGCUCCGACGCCAGAGCUCGCUCUGGACGGCCGCACGCUGGUGCCCUCGUCAAUCCCCAAAGUAAGGCACGCAGAAGCACGGAGCCAAUCCUCUGGUUGAAUUUGUCCAUAGCAUCAGCCAUCUUGCCAUUCAACUGCAUUUUUGCACGAGGGGGACUGACAAGCCCUGGCUAGGGAUUUGAGGGAACCGAGAGGGAUUCAGAGAUGAAACGCAAAGGAACAGAGGAAUCUCAACUCAGGAAUUCACUACUCUCAGAGGAAGGCUUUACUAGAAUUUAGGGAUUACAAGAAAGCUUAUGCGCCAGAACAUGGGAGUGGCUAGGGUUCAACCCUAAUACAAGAGAUAAGAUGUCGAUGCCUUCUGGCUUACACGGGUUAUAUAGCCCAACACACAACAAGCAAAGAAAGGAGAUACAUAGUAGGUUCUUGUGGACCCUUGGAUCCGAGAUGGACGGUGCCGCAGCGAUGGGAUAAGUGAGUUGUGGGUGAACAGUAUAAGUGUCCAUUUCUUCAGAAUCUUCAGACUUUAGGAGCUCGUCAAGAUUGGGUCCUGACAAUUCCCCCCUUCUAAGACCACACUUGUCCCCAAGUGUGUUGCAUCAUGGAGGCAUGAAGGAGACCAUCCACAGCUUCGGUAUCCAACCAAGGGUUUGAAAAUGUAGCAUAUGUGAAAAAUUGUUGAGGUAAAAUCCCACCAGUCCAUGUGUAGCAGAAUUCCCAAUCAAUGUAACAGCAAUGUAGUGUGUAUCAGAGUCAGGUUGUAAAGUCCUGUGGAAGGAAAUGGGAUAAUCCCCUGUACCAUGUGUUCCUUUUGCAUGUUGACCAUGAUCUACCUUGAAUACAAGACGCACCGCAUAAUUGUGGGUUGGAGUGAUGUUUCCAAUCUGAAAUAGAAAACUCAAAGACAUCAUUUUUCUUCUGCCAACUACUUGCGAUUCCUUGCAUAUCUGAAAACUCUUGCAAGAAUGCUGAAUACUGAACCAUGGGUUGUACAGUUCAAAAGUCAGAUAACUGAACCCACAGUUCUUGCCAGAAUUGCACUGCAUUUGCACAACCUUUUCUAGUGAGAAUUCCCACAAGGAAAUAAUGCUCUUGCUGUGUAAUUGAUGUUGGGUAUGGACUUGUGUUAUUUCCAUGGACUUUUCAACUGCAUCUAAAAUCUCCAACCAACUAAGGAAGUAGGCCCUGUUUUCUCCAGGGUCCCACUGCAACCUUCCUUCACAUUUAGGUGAGUAGCCAUGCGACCUUAUCAUAGCAAUAAAAUCAGUCUUUGAGUUGUGCAGUGUAAACAUAAUUUGAGCCGAGUGAAACGUGUAAUAGUUCUCUGCGGAAUUAAGCAAACCCCCCAAUUCUUGUAUCUUUAGUAGCAGUUGCAUCGUACGAUAUUGUACAAGAGUCAUCAUCACAAGAUUUCUUAAUCUGACAAUAUUCAAUAUUACUUGAGCUAUGAACUCUCAUUUGCAACCUCGCUUCAGAAUCCUUGUAGAGGUCAAUUUGAAUUGUCCCGGCAAACAGAAGAGUGUCACUGUGAGGGGGUAAUUUUCUACUUUGACGGGACAACUGUAACUUCUUAGGAGAGAGUGCAUGAUUGGCAAAGGAGGGCACUAGAAUGCUGCCGAAUAAACUAUAGUUUAUUGCAAUAAACUCUGGUGGCCAGGUAAACCUUAUCUUCCAGACAACAACACCCUGAGGGCAAUAUUGUGAAGCAUAGGUCACUCCGGUAUAAUAGGAUAUCAACCACCCUGUACUAAUUGUUUUGCAUAGCAGAAAUUUCAGAACAUCAAAAAGAAAAGAGGCCUUAGUUAUCCUAGUGAGAAUGUGUUUAGGGAGGUAGGUACUGGUCACCAUUUUGAGUAGAUGUUCACGGGGUUGCAAUAGAAGGCGAUGCUCACCGCAGCAUAAAUGCAUAUAAGAUAACUGAAGGAUAUAGAUAUAUAUCACAGUAUGGCAUUCCUUGAGGCUAGAGGAUCGCUAGGUAGAUGUUGUCGCUGCAAUCAUCUCUUCGUGUGUGACCAACUGAGGCUACUUUCAGCCCUUGGAAAAGAAGUACUGGACAUAUAGAAUUUUGGUUCUUGUUUGACAUACAAUCGGACACCUCAUGCUUGAUAAUCAACAUAACAGUACAGGAAUAUUAGACUCGUAUUCCCUGGAUGCUUGUAAUAAUUUCCUUAGCAUCAUUUGUGCAGAACUACCUAGUUGACUGUGUUGUACACCAGGGUCCCAUGGCAGUCUGAGGCGAACAUUAGGUGAUCCAUUUGUCAGCAGUACCAAGAAUGCAGCCCUUAUUUCGGUGUUCCAAGUCAUUUUUUUGCCAAUGCUCAUUUGCUCCAACUUGAGGAAUGAUCUCAUAUCGGUGGGAUAUUAUAAUUGCCGGCCUGACCAUAUUUAACUUGAAAUUGUGCACUAAAUGCUUCUCAUAUAUUUCCGGUGCUUGAUGCAUAUCAGAGAAAUGGAUUGCUUGUAUGUGGAUAACAACAACGGAAUAAAUCCACACAUGGAUGGUCAAUUUCAGUGCAUGUAUUUCACAAGAAUCCUCCCCAGGCAAAGAUGAACACAAGCAUAUAAGAUAUGUAGAGUGCAUGACAGUGUAAUUCAUGGUGAACCAAAGCAAAACAAGCUGCAGGCAACUGAAAUUUCCCUUGUUGAUUGGUUUACUGACUUCCCAAUGUGAACAAUGUAGAGUGCCAGGGUCCCAAGUUAACAUCAAUGGGUUAGUUUUAAUGUGUCCACACAGACCAAAAAUGUUUGUUGAUGGUUCAUGCACAUUACUGCUACAAGGGACUAUACCUAGUACCUGAGGUACCUGCAUCUGAGAUACUAUUCCACGGAGUGCCAAAUUUGAAACUGAUAUCCAACGACUCCAAUCCGAGAGAGGUGAACAUGGCAGAUGCAUGAUUUUGUAGUUACAAUGAGCAAUCCGCAAAUUGAAUGUUUCCUCUUCAAGUCCCUUAACAUUAAGAAUAGUUGGCAUUAUCACUAGAGCAUCAUGACUGUCUUGAUGUACUUCCUCUAUAGGUGGUGGCCAUGGCUGACACAUGCGGAGAACAUCAGUUGUCGGAAGCAUGUCCAUUUGAGCAGUGUGGACUUCUUCCUCAAGGAGUAAAGGAGAAGACACAACAAUUUCAGCAAUAUAGGAAGUGCUAUGAGCUUCUACUUGUUUCUUCAUUAUCAUUGCACAUGGUUGAGUAUUUUGCAAAUUGGAUGACUCAUCCGCAAAUGCUUUGGCACGUUGGGCAUCAUUUUGUCCCUUAUCAUCAUGAGUUAGAAGAAUAUCCUUAGCGAGUGUAUCAGCAGUGGUGUUGUUGCUAUCUUGAGGGUGCUGCUGUUUCAUAGGCCAUUGUUGGAGGACUUGGUCAAAAGUGUCAAUAUUUGCUUCCUCAUUUGCAUCUUCGGCAAGAAUUGAGAUAGCAGCAAGAAGAAGGCUUUCCAAGUCCAGCUGCUGCUGUACUGGUGCAUGCUUUAAUUGUUUCUCCUGGUUUUUGCAUUUUCUCUCAACUUGCUUAUUUCCAGUGCAGAAUGACUCGCAUGCAGAAAUUGGGGAUAUACCAGCGCUGACAUUGUUUUGUGAGGGUGGUAUGGGUUCAAGCUUGGUACCCAUACGCACAUAUAAAAGGUUGCAAGUCACAUCUCUGCUUAAUGCUUGUAGGUCAUUCUGUAGCUGUUGCAGAAGCUCAAAUUGAUAUUCAGAAAAACUAGGAGCAGAAUAUCCAUAAAAAGCUUGCAACUCGGAGCUAUUAGCAUGCCUAAUCUCCAACCGACAAUCAUCUUGGUACAGGUACAAUCCAUGUAAACCAUGCAAAGCAUCAUUCGCCAUUCUAAUGUGACCCCCAGGUAAUUAAGCUACAAUAAUCCCACGCUAAUGGUGCCACGUUACCUCUGUUACUGUUGCUAAUCUAUCGUUAGAUCAAAACCGGUCCAAAAUUCAAAUUCAAAAUUUGGUAAAUAAUAAAAGUUUUCAAACAUUAAAAUAAAAAUGUUCGGUUUGUACUAAAUAUUACAUAGAUAAUUAUGGUGUAGAAGACACAGUUUUAUAAAAUGCAUAAAUAUUUUAAAUUGAAUUAAAACAGAGGAGAAAAUAAAUAAAAGAAAGAAAAUACAAAAGAGAAAAACAAAUAAAAAAGGAAAAGAAACCCCCCCGGGGCUCCGGCCCAGCAGGCCACCGGCCCAACUGGGCCACGACCCACCAGGCCGGCCCAUCCCCGCACUCCAUAACCCCCACUCCCCCCCGUCAACCACCGACACCCCCACUCCCCCCGAAAUAUCUCCCCCUCUCCCCCGAUUGGAUCGGGAUCGAGAGGAGGAGACCGCUGGACGCCGCCGCCCGGAGCGCGGCCUCGCCGGAGCUUCCCCCGCCGGACUGCCUCCUCUCCGCUGGGUCGUCGUCGUCGUCCUCCCCACGCACCGUUGCCCCGUGCCCUACAGCCCCCACCGUGAGCACGCGCCCGCCUCCUCAUCUCCUCCCUGUCGGCCGACCCCGACCUCUCUGCUUGCUGGCUUCUCCACGCCUCACCGCCCCUUCCCUCCUCGCACGUGAGCGGCUCCCCUCUCUUCUCCCCCUCUGCUCCCGUUGCCGGAUCUAGCCGCGCCCGCGCUCGCGGUGAGCUCGCGCUCCCCGUGCCCCCGAGCACCGCUCGCAUUCGUCGUUCGGCUCCACGCGCCUGCUUGCGUUUGCCACUACCGUCCCGUACAACGCCCACCUCCCCUGCUCUCGCGCACGUCGCCCGGGGCCGUGCCCUGCGCGCCCGCCUCUGGCUGCCACCGCCGCCGCGCCUUGCCCCCUUUGCCUGCGCGUGCGUUCACCCGCCGAGCCGCCGCCUGCGCCUGCUGCUGUUCUCCUACUCGUUGCGGCCGGCCGCCACUACGCUCAACGCCGGCAACUUCUCCGACCGUCUCAGGACGAGCCACUGCCACUGUAGGACGUGCCGCUCCAAGGGCCCUCCAUCGCGCCCUCCCGCACGCCAAACCGUCGCCGGAGCUGUGCUCCCGAGCACCUCCGCCGUCCCCUGUGACUCGCCGGCGUGCAAAGCAAACCCACGCACGCUUAAACGAGCGAGCUGCUUCAUUGACGUGUGGGCCCGCCAAGUUUAAUUAAGUCCUAAGCGCUAAUUAACAGCAACCUAUUUUACCCAAAUAACGUUGGCACCGGAUCCCAACUAUAAAUAACCCUUCACUUAAAAUGUGACACUGACUGGUGGCCCCACGUCCUAAUUAAACUAAACUAAAUAAACCUAAGUAACUCUAGUCUAUGACAUGUGGCCCCCCCACAUGUCAGUUGGACCGGUCAACUGUGACUGUUGACUGUUGACUCAGCAGUCAACAGGUCCCACUGUCAUACACACACAUGCACUACUGGGUACACUUCCUGUGUACCCAUAGCAUUUAAAUACAAAUUUAAUUUCGAUUUAAAUUAAAUCUAGAAAUUAGAAAUCAUUUUAAAUCUAUAAAUUUUAAUAUAAAAUAAUCCGUAACUCGGAUGAAAAUACUUUGUACAUGAAAUUGCUCAGAACAACGAGACGAACCCGAAUACGCAGUCUGUUCGUCCGCCACACGUCCCUAGCAUAACGAACAUGCAACAAUCCACCUCCAUUUCAUCUGCCCGAAAACGUCAAACACCGGGAAUACUUUCCCGGAUGUUUUCCCCCUUUGCGAGUAGCACCUACUACUACGAUAGUUCACCUCUAGCACCACGUAAUGCCAUGUUACACUUUGUGAUGCUUUGAUUGCUCUGUUAUUUAUUGUGUUCCCCCCUCCCUUACUUCUUUCCGGUAGACCCCGAGAUUGCCGGCGACCCCCAGUUCGACUACGGUGUUAACGACCCCUCCUCGGCUGAGCAUCCAGGCAAGCCCCCCCUUGAUCACCAGAUAUCGCCUAUUCUUCUCUCUACUGCUUGCAUUAGAGUAGUGUAGCAUGUUACUGCUUUUCGUUAAUCCUAUCCUGAUGCAUAGCCUGUCCUUGCUACUACUGUUGUUACCUUUACCUGCAAUCCUAAAUGCUUAGUAUAGGAUGCUAGUUUUCCAUCAGUGGCCUUACCUUCUUGUCCGUCUGCUGUGCUAUACUAUCGGGCCGUGAUCACUCGGGAGGUGAUCACGGGUAUAUACUAUAUACUUUAUACAUGAUACAUGUGGUGACUAAAGUCGGGUCGGCUCGUGGAGCACCCGCGAGUGAUUCACGGAUCGGGGGCUGAAAGGACCUUUGUCCCGACGGCCCUCUGGGUGGAUCUUUGUGGCGGAGCGACAGGGCAGGUUGAGACCACCUAGGUGAGAGGUGGGCCUGGCCCUGGUCGGCAUUCGCGGUUACUUUAAUAACACGCUUAACGAGAUCUUGGUAUUUGAUCUGAGUUGGGUCGUUGACCUUAUACGCACUAACCGCCACGUGGGACAAGAUAUGGGCAACCGGCGUCGUGGUAUCAGCCGAAGCUCUUUUUGACGUCAGCGACUGAGCAGCACGCGUCGGAUUGGACUGGAACGCCUGCUAGGCUAGGUCUGCUUCCCGCCGCGUAUGCAACGUGCAGGUGUGCAAUGGGCGAUGGGCCCAGACCCCUGCGCGCAUAGGAUUUAGACCGGCGUGCUGACCUCUCUGUUGAGCCUAGGUGGGGCUGCGACGUGUUGAUCUUCCGAGGCCGGACAUGACCCAGGAAAGUGUGCCCGGCCAGAGGGAUCGAGCGUGUCGGGUAAUGUGGUGCACCCCUGCAGGGAAGUUUAUCUAUUCGAAUAGGCGUGAUGUUCGGUAACAGGAUGACUUGGAGUUGUACCUUGACCUUAUGACAACUAGAACCGGAUACUUAAUAAAACACACCCUUCCAAGUGCCAGAUACAACCCGGUGAUCGUUCUCUAACGGGGCGACGAGGAGGGGAUCGCCGGGUAGGAUUAUGCUAUGCAAUGCUACUUGGUGAACUUACCAUCUACUCUCUCCUACAUGCUGCAAGAUGGAGGUGGCCAGAAGCAUAGUCUUCGGCAGGAUUAGCUAUCCCCCUCUUAUUCUGGCAUUCUGCAGUUCAGUCCACCGAUAUGGCCCUUUACACAUAUACCCAUGCAUAUGUAGUGUAGCUCCUUGCUUGCGAGUACUUUGGAUGAGUACUCACGGUUGCUUUUCUCCCUCUUUUCCCUCUUUCCAUUCUACCUGGUUGUCGCAACCAGAUGCUGGAGCCCAGGAGCUACACGCCACCAUCGACGAUGACUCCUACUACACCGGAGGUGCCUACUACUACGUGCAGGCCGCUGGCGACAACCAGGAGUAGUUUAGGAGGAUCCCAGGCAGGAGGCCUGCGCCUCUUUCGAUCUGUAUCCCAGUUUGUGCUAGCCAUCUUAUGGCAACUUGUUUAACUUAUGUCUGUACUCAGAUAUUGUUGCUUCCGCUGACUCGUCUAUGAUCGAGCACUUGUAUUCGAGCCCUCGAGGCCCCUGGCUUGUAUUAUGAUGCUUGUAUGACUUAUUUUAUUUUUAGAGUUGUGUUGUGAUAUCUUCCCGUGAGUCCCUGAUCUUGAUCGUACACUUUUGCGUGUAUGAUUGAAUUGGGGGCGUCACAAGUUGGUAUCAGAGCCGACUGCCUGUAGGAAUCCCCCUUUCCAACUCCUUGGCCGAAGUUGAGUCUAGUCAUUGAAAAAGUUUUUACUAACAUGGCUGUGCGGCUUACAGGCCCACGUCGCCAUUGGGUGGUAUUAGGAUCUUUUAUUUCUCGACCUAUACUCUGGGACUCUGACAUGUCUUCUAUUCGGGUUAAACGAUUUUACUUACUCUGACUCUAGGUUCUCGUAAAUACUUCUCCCGGAGAGCUCCUUCAUUCCAGAUGAUGGCCGGCUUCACCAGAAGAAUUCCGAAGAUACUCUUCCAUAUUCUCUCGAGACUUUGUGCCCACCGCUUUUGCUAUUCCCGACCAUUGAUAAACCCUUAUGGAUAACUGCAUACGCUUUUCGUCCAUAGCUUCACUUCUAAUUGUUCUUGUUAUUACAAGAUACCCUGAAAUACUUCGGAUAUUCCGAGAAUACUUUGUGCCUACUGCCUUGCAGUUGCUAGCCACAUAAAUACCCCUAUGGAUAAUUCCUCACACUUGCCGAGUAACCGCUCAUCCCUAGCCGUUCAUGUGUUUCACAUAAGUCCUCGAAAUACCAUUCGAUUUUCUGAAAAUCCUCAGCAGCCCAUUGCUCUUGAUUGCCUUGCCUUCCUGCAUUAUGGUUAAUCCCAUAAGUCUCGUAAUCUUAUUGGCAUCCCUUGUCUUUAUCAUUUUAACUCCGUUGAUUCAAUAUGUUGAGGAUGCUCGCAUUCCUCAGUCGAAUCCUAGAAUUCACCCUUCCGGCUCAGAUGUCAUUUUGAACAGGAGCUGGUUCUGGACUAAUCAAUUGCCGUUGAUUGUAUCCCUAAGCCUACUCAACUUAUCCAUCCUUGAUCAGAGUGUUUGCUUCUAAUCCCUUGAUUUGGAACUCAUAAUUCCUUUACAUUUGAGCUUUGAAUUGGUCAGUUGUUUCUAUAAUCUGAUCUCCCUGCAUUCUUUCUUCCUCUGGUUGAGUACCGAUGCUCACAUCAGAUCCCUUGUGGACCACCAGACCCUUUGUCGUGUUUUAUCCGACAACGUCCUUCAUAUUCAAUAAUCUUGUGAGCCUUUCCUUGGAAACAUAGUGCCUUUGGUAAAUUGUAUCCUCUGCUUGCUCAAGCAUGCUCUACUAUUGAUCUUGUGUUAUUUAUUCUUGAAAUUUGUGGUAUAUGUUCCUAAGAGGCCCUGAUGGGUUGGACAUAUGCCUUCUCUAAUCUGUGUGAACCCGGAAACUACUACGGGUCAUACUCUACUGGUGUUAUGUCAGAUAAAAUUUCAACACACAACUUCGUUGAAGGCGAGAAGUGAAUGAAAGGUUAUGCAUUAAAGAAGUGGGAGUCGACCUUGAACUUUGUGUUCAUGCCCAUGGACACGAUGUAUAUCCUAUCAUGGAAGCUUCUUGUAAUAAUAACUAUUUCCUUGAUAACUAUCAUAUGGUAUCUGUGAAUUGAUCCUUUGCAACCGUGGUUCCGACCAUGAUUGUUCUUCUUUGAUCCCAUUGCUCGGACAAGUUAAAACAUUUGUCUUCUACAGAUCAAUGCGUCUGCCCGACCUCUAUUAUGAUCUACCUUCGAGUAUUACCCCUGGUAUCUCGAGGAUAUCAUGCCACUGCUCUACAUCUUAUGAAUUUUUGAUGAAGUACUACCUUUCCCUGUCGCUGUCACUUCAUGGGUGCUGGGUUGUUUGUCAACCCAAAACACCGAUAAGUGAAUCGGUUCCGCACUUUGAAUCAACAACUCUAAGUAAUUUUCGUUGCUUACGAGUUUAUUAAUCCUUCAAGUCAUUCCUAACCUGAUCGGCUAUAUCAUUAUCGUGCUAAAUUUUAACCGUGCUACCCGGUCCUUCCCGGAGCACAAUUUUCGACGAUGAGCUAAGCUUACGUCGAUAUUCCUCGUCAUAUCAUUACGCCUUGAACAGCAAGCUUGAUUUCGUGUUUGUGCCAUACCAUGGUUCCAACAACCUUUCACCUCAUCAUUCCUUUGACUUGAUGUCAUCGCCAAUCGAUUACAUCUUCAUGAAAUCACUCAACAAAUGUGUCAUGAUCAUCAUCAACAUUUUGAGCUCUUGUAGGAUAUCAAUCAAGUACAUGAUGGGAGAUACUAUCCUUGCCCCUCGAUGAUUGUGUUAUCAUCGUCAACAUUCUUGCCUUCCCCCAACACAAACUUGUUCGUGUUAUGGAUGCAACUUGCUAUCCAGCUUGUAUGAUGUUCUACCUUGAAGUAUUAAUGUACUUGAUGACAAGGAUGUUGUGAGGAUUGCUCCACAUCUAAAAAAUUCUUGGUAUAGUGAUACUUCUCACCAUCACCAUUCUUUCUUGGUCCUCGUGUUGAUUCCAACCGGGGUACCAACAAGUGAACGGUGCUAUUUGGAUUCUGCCCUUCUAGCAACCCUCUUGCUUUGAAGUUAAUGGUCGGCCGUUCAUUCUUGGACUAUUGAUUAUUGAAUCACCAUUCUGACAUUGGUCGUGCAACCCAACCCAUAUUUCGGGCGCACCUUUCAACCAAUGUUUAAUUGUGUAUGUUUUCCUCGAGCAUACCUCAUUAUAUCAUUUGAUUUGACAAAUGUUAUCUCCUUGUUCACAUAAUUGUGGAAAUCCAUCUUUUGGAAAUCCCAAUGAAUUGUCGCUGAGUUCAUCAGCCACCUCCUCAUCCUCUCCUUGGUUUAAUGAUGAACUCAUGAUUCGGAACUUGAUUCCAUAGUUUAUUUCCCAAGAAUCUUGCAACUCCAUCACGUCAAAUUGAGUUGCACCCUUCCUUCUCAGGCAUCAUGAGUCUGAGGUAUCCUGACACCAAUCAGAUCCAAAUCUCGGGUCAGAUAUGAUGGAUUGAACAUAUUUCCAAGAGUUUUAACACUGGUCUUUAUAUGACCCGGUAAGGUGAUGUCAUGCCUAGCACACCUGGCUGGGGGACCCAUUGUUAUGAUACCCCCUCUUUUCAGCAAGGUUAGCCAUUCUUCCAGGAGGAAAUUGUAAGACUUAUCUUACAAGUUGUUCCUGAUGGAUCCUUCGUGUAUCCAGAGUCUGUCCUUCGCUUGAAGACCAUGUCAAUGCUAUCUCGAAGCAUGUCUAUGGUACUCCGUUUUUCAACAAGAACAUUUGAAGCCCAAUGCUAAAUGUUUCCUGCUCAAUUAUCCAAACACCGCUGUAUGGGUAAUGUCAUGAAAUUUCUCUCCCCUUACCUAAAGAGUUUUCUACAUUAUAUCCUGUGAUGGAUAUCGUGCUUUGAUUGUCCUUGGGAAGGAUAUACCCCCGAAAUAUGUAUUUAAACACAUUUUCCUUUCCAUUUUUCUGUUUAAUCUGGAAAUCACAUUUUCCUUUCCAUGGUUUUGUUUGACCUUUCUUGGGAAUUAUAUGAUCUAAGCAGAGGUAAUUCCCAACAUAUGCAAACACCUCGAUGUACAACUCUGUCAGUGAGACCCUGUUACUAUUGUUGAUGACAUUCCGGUAGCCACCGAUGGACGAGAACUUUGCCUAUUGGUCCGCCUCGUUCAACGAGCAGGAAAAUGGUUCUCUUCGUCCCUCGCCCUUGGUACCGACGUGGCCGACAUAAUUGAUAGGCUAUCCUCUGACAUGCCUUGUUAUCUUGACUGUGCAAAAUAUCACUGCCCUUUCUACUUUUAACCAACAUGCUAGGUCCAUAACCCACAGGUCCCAGGAUCGAAACCUGACUGUCCUGUAUACCCCUAUCUUCGAAGUUAUUCCUCAUGAUUGGCUUCCUAUGAAGAUCACCAGCCACCUUACUAGAGAUGAUCUAAUCUGGUAUCAGACGCGAUACUUAUUUUCAUUGCUCUGGACCCCUUUCACACUUUGUUUCAGGCAUCGAACUAUUGCCUACCCGCUCGAAACAUCUCAUGGUACUUACUUACUUUGCUCUCGAUAUUGUCUUAAGUUUCCAUUCGAGAGUUACUUUCCGCCACCAUCCCCGAUGUUAUCAACCAGAUAGUCGACCUUUCAGAGGUCCGUUUUCCGAAGUUACCCCUUGUCCUUCAUACGUACAAUGAAGACUCCGAAGAAAGGAUGAUGACUUCAUCAUGAUGACCUGAAGCCGAGGUAUGAAGACAUCAACGUUAUGGAUCGACCACUUAAAGAAGAGCAACCAAGACAGAGAAGGCUCGUUAGAAUUUCGCGACCAAAUCCCUUCCCCCUUACUUCCCCUCUUAAAUCUCGGAACGAGAUUUCUUGUAGUGGAGGAGAAUUGUGACGCCCGGGUAAUUAAGCUACAGUAAUCCCAUGCUAAUGGUGCCACGUUACCUCUGUUACUGUUGCUAAUCUAUCGUUAGAUCAAAAUUGGUCCAAAAUUCAAAUUCAAAAUUUGGUAAAUAAUAAAAGUUUUCAAACAUUAAAAUAAAAAUGCUCGGUUUGUACUAAAUAUUACAUAGAUAAUUAUGGUGUAGAAGACACAGUUUUAUAAAAUGCAUAAAUAUUUUAAAUUGAAUUAAAACAGAGGAGAAAAUAAAUAAAAGAAAGAAAAUGCAAAAGAUAAAAACAAAUAAAAAAGGAAAAGAAACCCCCCGGGGCUCCGGCCCAGCAGGCCACCGGCCCAACUGGGCCACGACCCACCUGGUCGGCCCAUCCCCGCACUCCAUAACCCCCACUCCCCCCAGUCAACCACCGACACCCCACUCCCCUCGAAAUAUCUCCCCCUCUCCCCCAAUUGGAUCGGGAUCGAGAGGAGGAGACCGCUGGACGCCGCUGCCCGGAGCGCGGCUUCACCGGAGCUUCCCUCGCCGGACUGCCUCCUCCUCCUCGACGGCUUGCCUCCUCUCUGCCGGGUCGUUGCCGUCGUCCUCCCCACGCACCGUUGCCCCGUGCCCUACAACCCCCACCGUGAGUACGCGCCCGCCUCCUUAUCUCCUCCCCGCCGGCCGACCCCGACCUCUCUGCUCACCGGCUUCUCCACGCCUCGCUGCCCCUUCCCUCCUCGCACGUCAGCGGCUCCCCUCUCCUCCCCCUCUGCUCCCAUUGCCGGAUCUAGCCGCGCCCGCUCUUGCGGUGAGCGCGCGCUCCCCGCGCCCCCGAGCACCGCUCGCAUUCGUUGUUUAGCUCCACGCGCCUGCUUGCGUUUGCCACUGCCGUCCCGUACACGCGCCCACCUCCCCUGCUCUCGCGCACGUCCCCCGGGGCCGUGCCCCGCGCGCCCGCCUCUGGCUGCCACCGCCGCCGCGCCUUGCCCCCUUUGCCUGCGCGUGCGUUUGCCCGCCGAGCCGCUGCCUGUGCCUGUUGCUGUUCUCCUACUCGCUGCGGCCGGCCGCCACUACGCUCAACGCCGGCAACUUCUCCGACCGUCUCAGGACGAGCCACUGCCACUGUAGGACGUGCCGCUCCAAGGGCCCUCCAUCGCGCCCUCCCGCACGCCAAACCGUCGUUGGAGCUGUGCUCCCGAGCACCUCCGCCGUCCCCUGUGACUCGCCGGCGUGCAAAGCACACCCACGCACGCUUAAACGAGCGAGCUGCUUCAUUGACGUGUGGGCCCGCCAAGUUUAAUUAAGUCCUAAGCGCUAAUUAACAGCAACCUAUUUUACCCAAAUAACGCUGGCACCGGAUCCCAACUAUAAAUAACCCUUCACUUAAAAUGUGACACUGACUGGUGGCCCCUCGUCCUAAUUAAACUAAACUAAAUAAACCUAAGUAACUCUAGUCUAUGACAUGUGCCCCCCCCACAUGUCAGUUGGACCGGUCAACUAUGACUGUUGACUGUUGACUCAGCAGUCAACAGGUCCCACUGUCAUACACACACAUGCACUGCUGGGUACACUUCCUGUGUACCCAUAGCAUUUAAAUACAAAUUUAAUUUCGAUUUAAAUUAAAUCCAGAAAUUAGAAAUCAUUUUAAAUCUUUAAAUUUUAAUAUAAAAUAAUCCGUAACUCGGAUGAAAAUACUUUGUACAUGAAAGUUGCUCAGAACGACGAGACGAACCGGAAUACGCAGUGUGUUCGUCCGCCACACGUCCCUAGCAUAACGAACAUGCAACAAUCCACCUCUAUUUCAUCUGCCUGAAAACGUCAAACACCGGGAAUACUUUCCCGGAUGUUUUCCCCCGUCGCCAGUAGCACCUACUACUAUGAUAGUUCACCUCUAGCACCACGUAAUUCCAUGUUACACUUUGUGAUGCUUUGAUUGCUCUAUUAUUUAUUGUGUUCCCCCUCCGUUCCCUCUUUUCGGUAGACCCCGAGAUUGCCGGCGACCCCCAGUUCGACUACGGUGUUGACGACCCCUCCUCGGCUGAGCUUCCAGGCAAGCCCCCCCCCCUGAUCACCAGAUAUCGCCUAUUCUUCUCUCUACUGCUUGCAUUAGAGUAGUGUAGCAUGUUACUGCUUUCCGUUAAUCCUAUCCUGAUGCAUAGCCUGUCCUUGCUACUACUGUUGUUACCUUUACCUGCAAUCCUAAAUGCUUAGUAUAGGAUGCUAGUUUUCCAUUAGUGGCCUUACCUUCUUGUCCAUCUGCUGUGCUAUACUAUCGGGCCGUGAUUACUCGGGAGGUGAUCACGGGUAUAUACUAUAUACUUUAUACAUGAUACAUGUGGUGACUAAAGUCGGGUCGGCUCGUGGAGCACCCGCGAGUGAUUCAUGGAUCGGGGGCUGAAAGGACCUUUGUCCCGACGGCCCUCUGGGUGGAUCUUUGUGACGGAGCGACAGGGCAGGUUGAGACCACCUAGGUGAGAGGUGGGCCUGGCCCUGGUCGGCGUUCGCGGUUACUUUAAUAACACGCUUAACGAGAUCUUGGUAUUUGAUCUGAGUUGGGUCGUUGACCUUAUACGCACUAACCGCCACGUGGGACAAGAUAUUGGCAACUGGCGUCGUGGUAUCAGCCGAAGCUCUUUUUGACAUCAACGACUGAGCGGCGCGCGCCGGAUUGGACUGGAACGCCUACUAGGCUAGGUCUGCUUCCGGCCGCGUACGCAACGUGCAGGUGUGCAAUGGGCGAUGGGCCCAGACCCCUGCGCGCAUAGGAUUUAGAUCGGCGUGCUGACCUCUCUGUUGAGCCUAGGUGGGGCUGCGACGUGUUGAUCUUCCGAGGCCGGACAUGACCCAGGAAAGUGUGCCCGGCCAGAGGGAUCGAGCGUGUCGGGUAAUGUGGUGCACCCCUGCGGAGAAGUUUAUCUAUUCGAAUAGGCGUGAAAUUCGGUAACAGGACGACUUGGAGUUGUACCUUGACCUUAUGACAACUAGAACCGGAUACUUAAAAAAACACACCCUUCCAAGUGCCAGAUACAACCCGGUGAUCGCUCUCUAACGGGGCGACAAGGAGGGGAUCGCCGGGUAGGAUUAUGCUAUGUGAUGCUACUUGGUGAACUUACUGUCGUGGUGGGCGCACGACAGAUGCCAAGGGAUGGCUAAAGAGAGGAGGAGGUUCGAGGGCACUGGUGGCCUCCAGAGGCGAGGUUGGCAUGAGCGGGCGCGGGACGCCGGACAUACCCAGGUUCGGGGCUCUCCGGAGAGAUAAUACCCCUAGUCCUGCUGAGUGUAGUUGGAUGAUUGAUAGUACAAGGUUGCUCCUGGAGCUGUUUGGAGGAGGAAGGAAGCUGGCCAAGGCUUGGGUUGCUCCUUCUCUCCGGUGUUGCUGUUUCUUGGCUAGUCCUCUGGUUUUGCUCUCAUGAAAGAGUUGCCCGUAUGCAUGAGGGCUCCCAGGGGGUUUUAUAGUCCAACCCCCCGGGGGUACAAUGGUAAUGUUACAGGUCGGUGGGUCCGUAUUGUCGGUGUCCGGGGACCCGGGCUGGGCCCCGCUGAGGGCUUGUGGUUCGCCGGGUUCCCCGAGGUGCGGGCCCCGCAUGCCUAGGGGGACUGUGCGCCGUCUUGUCGAUCAUCAGGGCGUGGCCGAGUCGAGUCGCGUAUAGUGCUCUCCGUCAGGUUGACGCUUGCUCUCGUCAGCGGUGAGGGUGGGGGCACUGUAGCCACGCCGGCCCCGGUCAGCGGGUAGGUGAGGGGCACUGUUGCCUCGUUCCUGCUGACCAGAGGCAUGGGCGGGGCACUGUUGCCUCGGUCAUCGUUGAUUGAAGUCUCGUCCCCAUCAUAUGGCCUGGAUGGGACGGGAGUUGACCCAUGGCUGGAUUGCGUAGCACGCCAUGGGUGGCGCUGGCUUGUUGAGGAGGCUUUGGCCAUGCCGGGUUCGGCUGUCUUGCGCCAGUUGUUGAGGCCGAGUCGACACGUCUUGCGGGUCGGCUAGUCUGGCCGGCUUGCGGGGCUUGGCCGGGUCGAGCGACCCGGCCAAGCGCGCGCCGGUAUUGAGGGGCGGUGCCAGCCCCGUUAUUUUUUAAGAGGAUCCGGGUUCCGUUGCCUGCCCGGGGUCCAUCCCCCCGACAGUAGUCCCCGAAGCUGUGAAGGUCCGUCGUCUUCGGAUGAGUGGGCCUUCGCAGUUUCCCCCUUAAGCAAGGUGGAUUCUGCGUGCGCCGGGUCCGGCAACACCCACUGUGUGCCGGUUUUCUCGGAACCGGAUCGUGGCAUCCCGGCCGUGGCGGGGACCAAGAAGUCCGCCGAAUCUUGGGGCAAUCCCUCGGGCUCUGCGCGGCCGCCAUGUGGCGCCCGAAAGUCGGAGGGGCCUGACAGGCCACGCGCGUGACGGGACAGGGCGACGGGCUGGGGCCCACCGCCGCGCGCCCUCGGCCCAAGCGCGCGGAUUUAUUGCGGCGUCCGGGGGCCGAUUGCUCUUCCCUGGGCAGUUACUGCGCGUGUACGUGCGCACUUAUUGCGGGGUAGUGGGACGGGCGCAUGCAGACGAUCCCACUUCCCCACGUUCAAACCGAGGGUUAUAAAUUGGGGGGGCAGGGGGCGGCGGACAUUAUUCUCGCUCGCACCCUCCUGUCCCUUUGUUCUUGCUCCGCUCUUUGCAACUGACGCACUGCGGCGGCCUCUGCUCCGAGCGGAACUCCUUCGCCGUCCAUCUUCCUUCUUCUUCGAUCAUGUCGCUGCCAUCGGGCUCCUGGAUGGGUUCGAACGUUACCCCCGAGGACAUCGCCCAGCUCCGAGUGCCGCGGCGCCUGCCGCGAGAGACGGAUGUCGGCGUCCGCCUGCCGCGCGGCGAGAAGACACCUCGGCCCGAGGGGCAGGAGCGCAUGGUCUUCCUCACACAUUUCGAGCACGGGUUCGGGCUGCCGGCGAGCACCUUCUUCCGCGCGUUCCUGGAGUUCGUCGGGCUCCAGCCGCAUCAUCUUGGCGCCGGCGCCAUCGUCCAGCUCUCCGGCUUCGUCACCCUCUGCGAGGGGUACCUGGGGGUCGAGCCUACGAUCGACCUCUGGGCGCGCUUCUUCUCCUUGAAGCAGCAGGGCCCGUCGGCCGGGGAGUUCGCCGAUUGCGGCGCCGCCGUCAUCUCGAAGCGGUCGGGGCGGAUUUCCCCAAGAUCCCGCUGGUGGAUUCUGCCAAGAAGUGGCAAAACUCCUUCUUCUACAUCCGCAACCUUGGCGUGGACCGCAUCAACCUUCGGGCCUUCGCCAUCGCACCGCCGCGGGCGAAGACGAACUGGGGCUACUCGCCCAGGCGCCUGUCACAGGAGAUUGUCAACCUCUGCGAGCGGGUGACGGUGAUGAGGACGUAGGAGGGGCUCACCGGCACCGACCUCCUUGCUGCGUUCAUCAUGCGCCGGGUCCUUCCGCUUCAGGGGCGCUCCUGCCUCAUCGGAGAAAUGGUCGGCCUUCAAGACCCCAACCGCAUGGGGUCGACGCGGCUGUCCGCGGAGCAGGUCGCGCGCGGCGUGAAUGACAUCUCCAAGGCCAACCUUGGGGAGGACUGGCGGUUCGGGAAGGCGCCGUACAGCCAAACGAACCCGGCGCCGCAGGUGAGCGUCUGGUCUUCUUACUUUGCUGCCGCGCACCUUCUCAUCCGUCCUGACGCGACGCGGGGGGUACUUCUGAGCGCGAUUCGGCUUCCUUACGCCCGGGCCCCGUCACAGGUGGAGCCGGUGGCGCCAGAGGAGCCCGCGGCUCACGGCGGGGAGGAGGUGGCCGAGUCCGACGCUGGCGCUGGGCGUCGCGUGGGUAAGUCUCAUGUGUUUGUUCAUGUGUCUUGAAUUGCUGACCGCGGCACGGAACGGUCGGUGCUGAUGCCAGUUGUCGGUGUAGUGGCGUUGGGCGGGGGAGGCGGCGACGCGGGCGGAGCCGGGUCCUCGCACGGGGCGGCGCCGAGCCACCCGCAUGGGAAAGACAGCAUCGCGCCGUGACCCCGGGCCCCGAAGCGCACGGCGGACCCGGCCGGGGCCGGGAGGCCGGCCAAGAGGAAGCGAUGCGGCGGGCACGGGAGGCCAACCCCGGUCCCGGUCUUGGCGGGGUAAGCUUCGUCUCUCGUUUGCGCUCAGAUUUUUUCUUCUUGAGCUAGUCUUGUUUCUUGUCUACUCAUUCUGUCUUCUUCUCCAGGUCGCCAAUCGCGCUGGCGAGGGCGGCGGCGGAAGCCGCGACCGCCGAAGGGGCCGCGUUCCGCAGGAGCCGGUCCGACCUCGCCGACCAGGCCGAGGUGGAGGGACGGGCCGACUCGGACCUCGGCCUGGAUCCGUACGACGCCGAAGCCUUGGCCUGGCGGGACAGGAACCGGGCCGAGGCGGCGCUGGAGGCGGCGUCGGUCCGGGCUUGGACCGACGCGGCGGCGGCAUGGGCGCGACCCAGCGCGGAGCUGGCCUGGCGCGAGAUGCCGGAGGGCACGGUGGUGGAGGCGACGGUCUUUGAGCCGUCGUCGGUGAGAGAGCGCGGCCGUGGAGGCCGCGCUGAGGUGAUGACCCCCGACCGGGUGGUCGUGGAGGUGGAGGAUGACACCCCGCCGCGGGCUGACCUGGUCGAGCGAGCGGGGGCUGAUGGUGGAGGAGGCGGCGGCGUCUUGGAAGAGACGCUGCGGGCGGCGGGGUCGGAGGCGCCGCCAUUUUUGGAGGAGGCACCGCGGGCGGCGGUGCCGGAGGCCACCCCGGCAGCUGGGCCGAAGAAGGCGACGCAGGGCGUCCCGGCGCCCGAGACGUCGGAGGAGGUGCUGGCCGCGUCGCGAGCGGCCAGCGGGGAGUACGCCUUGGUGCCCCGGCAGGGAGGGCACGGAGCUGCCGUGCCGCAGCCGGCGCGGAGCGGGGGCACCGUUGUCUUCGGGCCUCAGACCCAGGAGGAGGCGGCGUUGGACGCCGUCAGUCGCCGCCUGCGAGGCCGGACGGAACGGCUCGAGGCCUUCACCCAGGCCGAGGUGGAGCGGACGCGCGACCUAGAGUGCGCCGUUCUGGUAAGUUUUCUUGUAAUUUCUUCUUUGUGGGGGCGCGCCAGCGCACCCACUGGGUGUAGCCCCCGAGGUUCGGGCCAACUACGUAGUAGUUGGGUCGAAUCGUUAGAGUGUUGGCCUUGUUCUGAUUUCUGCUUUCUUCAGCAUCUCGACGGCUUCCGGAUCGCCGCCUUCAAUCGUCUCCUGAGCAAGCACCGGGAGCUCAGGGAGCAGCUUGCCGCCAAGGAGGAGGAGCUCCGUGUCGCCGCAGGUAUUCUUGUGCUCUUUUCUAGUGGCGGCGCGCUAGCGCACCCACUGGGUGUAGCCCCCGAGAUUCGGGCCAACUGUGUAACAGUUGGGCCAAAUCUUAAGUCUUGCUCUUUCCUUCUGCUGAGCCCUUCUUUUUUCGCAGCCGAGGUGCUGUCCUGGUGGGCUCGUCUACUCCGGGCCAGUCAUCACUACGACCGGCUCGUUGCCAACACCGGCCGUCUUGGCGCCGAGGCGGCGCAGGCGAGGGCGGAGGCGGCCGCGGCUCGGCGGUCUCUCGAUGAGGCCAACCGGCUGCAUGAGCAGCUGGCGGGUCACAAGAGCCGCCUCGAGGCCGAGGUGGGGCUCCUCAAGGCGGAAGCCGCCAAGGUGGCAGAGGCGCAGCAGGCCCUGGUGGAGGCGGACCAGCAGCGCGGCCAGCUGGCCGACGACAAGGGCCGGCUCCAGGCCGAGGUGGAUCGCCUGCGGGGGUAGGUCACCACGGCUGAGGGGGGCCGUUAGGACGAGGCUCAUCGCCGCGAGGCGGCCGAGAAGGUGGCCGAAGACAAGGACGCCGAGCUGAAGGCGGCCCUUGCCAAGGCGGCCGAUCUGGAGAAGGCGCUCGAGGAGCGUGACCGCGCCAUCGAGGGGGAGCGGCGUGGUACGUUGCUUGAGGCGCAGCACCUGGAAGAGUCCUUCUCCAGUAAGUGCUUUUUCUUGUCGUUUGCCGGGUCGGGAUCCGGCCUUUCUUCCUUGUUGUUCUUCUUCUAACUUGCUUCUUCCUUUGCGGCAGGGGCCUUCCCAGAGACGCAGCGGCUGGCGGAGGAAGCCGUCCGCUAUCAGCGCGACCCGACCGGCGUCGUUGGGUCCGGGACGGAUCCGCGGGUGGUCUGGACCUUCCCGGAGAUCAUCGCCGCCGCUGAGGCCCGCCUGCAGGUCCUGGGAACGCAGCUGGGGCGGCUGUCCCAGGCCGGCACCGCGAUGACGGCGGCCCUAUGGCCGGACUCCGUCCAGCCGAGCAGCUUCUCGCGCCUGGAGCGUUGGUUGGAGAUGGGGCCGGACCGGCUUGGCAAGUGGCGCCUCUCCGCCGCUCGUGCCGGUGCUGAGAUGGCGCUCCGGUUUGCGCUGUCCUGGCAUCCGGACCUGCAGCUGGACGCGUUGAUGGGCCAGCAGGCCGGUUCGGAGCAGCUCUUGCAGGAGCAAGCCGGCCGGAUCGCCUCCCGGGCCAGCUACAUCGCCGAGUUCGCCUUCCACGAUGAGUUCCAUCCGGAGCGGACGGAAGACGGCGGGGUCGUGGACGGCGACGACUACGGCUUGCUCUUCCACAAUCCGGAGGGGAGCUGGGAGGAGACAGGCGUCUACCGCGACGCGGGUGCUGAGGAGGACACCGACACCUCGCUGGACCCGGAGGCCGCCAGGGGAGGGCCGUCGACGUCGCGACGCGGCGCUGGAGAUGCCUGAGACACUUUGUGUAGAAUUUGUUAAAUAGCAGGUCUACCCACCCACUGGGUUUUUUUCAGGGUGUAAUGAACUCGAGCCGUGGGCCUUUUCUGAAGUACUUGUGUAGAUGUCGUGGGUGCUUUUGCUUUUUGCCUUCCGUUUUUUGGACCGAUUUCAUGCGCUUUCCUUUCUCAAACCUCCCCCCACGAGUCAGACGGCCGAGGCUCCGUUCUGCAACAAGGAGUUCGGUUCUUUGAGAGGGGCGCGCAGGACUUGGGUUCCUCGAAACGUUGAGCGCGAGCGAAACACCCACUGGGCCGGCUGGCGGCGAUCCGGCGAAGCCGGUUGGCGAGCAGCCGGUCGUGCGGCUGUUUAUUUGAUGAAUGGUGGGCCGGGUCGAUCGACCCGGCAGCCUUUGACUUAGUGUAUGAAGCGUAAAGGAGCUUUGGCCCAUUGUGCUUGCCAGCCGACAGCCAAAGCUGGAUCUGUGGCUUUAGGGCAAAGUGGGGGACCGUGGCAUCCUAACUUUAUCAGGAAUCACCAAGUAAGGCGGCGAGGUGGCGACCGAGCCGGCCAGCCCCCGAGCCCCUGGGUCGAGCGAGUCGGACCGGUGGCCGGGUUCAGUGGUAUAGUGAUGCGAGAAAAUAUGGACACAAUAAAUUGGUCGACAAAAGGCAGCCCCCGAGUCUCUUUCAGGGACCCCAUAGUUUCAUGCGUUUACAAAAGGCGACGAUACAUACGCUCGUGCGGCUAACUGUAAAACGGGCGGAGGAGUUCCGCGUUCCACGGCCGGGUCGUUUCUUCACCGGCGGUGUCCUUCUUGCGCUUCCUUGACUUGCGUGCGUCGAUGAGGUAGUAGGCGUUGCGGUCGCGCAAGGCCCUGCUCACGAUGAAUGGGCCCUCCCAUGGAGGGGACAACUUGUGCUGGCCUGCCUGCUCUUGGACGAGUCGGAGGACGAGGUCGCCCUCGCGGAACGCGAGGGGCUUGAUCUUCUUGCUGUGGUAGUGCCUCAGGCCUUGCUGGUAGAUGGCCGAGCGACUGAGCGCCAGGAGGCGUGCUUCUUCGAGUAGGUCGACGCCAUCUUCGCGGGCUUCUCUGGCUUCGGCUUCGGUGUACAUCGCGACGCGUGGCGAGUCGAACUCGACGUCGGUCGGGAUGACGGCUUCGGCUCCGUAGACGAGGAAGAACGGGGUGAACCCGGUCGACCGAUUCGGCGUGGUGUGUAGACUGCAGAGAACGGUUGGCAACUCGUCAAGCCAGCUGCCGGGUGAGCGGAUGAGUGGCUUGAUGAGUCGCGGCUUGACGCCGGACAGGAUGAGUCCAUUGGCCCGCUCGACCUGCCCGUUGGACUGUGGAUGCGCAAUGGAGGCCAGGUCGAGGCGGAUGCCGGAGACGGAGCAGUAUUGCUCGAGCGCGCCCUUGGCGAAGUUGGUGACGUUGUCGGUGAUGAUGCUGUUCGGCAUGCCGUAGCGCACCGCUAUGUCCUUGAUGAACCGGACGGCUGUUGGCCCGUCCAGUUUCUUGAUUGGUCUUGCCUCGAUCCACUUGGUGAAUUUGUCCACUGCCACCAGCAAGUGCGUCAUGACGCCUCGAGCGGUUUUGAAGGGUCCCACCAUGUCGAGUCCCCAGACCGCGAAGGGCCAGGCGAUUGGUAUGGUGCGGAGUGCUGCGUCGGCUGGUGGCUGCGUUUGCUGAAGCGCUGGCAUCCCUCGCACUUGAGGAUGAGCGACUCGGCAUCUUGGAGGGCCGUGGGCCAGUAGAAACCGUGGCGGAACGCCUUGGCCACCAGGGAUCGUGAUGCGGCGUGGUGCCCACACUCGCCCUGAUGUAUGUCGAGGAGGAUGUCGAUGCCCCGUUCCUGCUCGACGCGGCGCUGGAACACGCCGGUGGAGCUGCGCUUGAUGAGCUCGUUGUUGAUGAUGCUGUAGGCAGAUGCCUGGCGUUGCACUUGCCGAGCUUCGGUCUCGUCCAUGGGGAGAACCCCGUUCUCCAAAAAUUCUGAUAUUGGGAGGGCCCAAGAUGGAGCCGCGACCACGGCGAAAACGGCCACCAGGGUGGGUUCCGAGUCGGUAGCCCCCGAGCCGGGUUGAGCAGCCCCCGGGUCGGGGAUGGCGACGGCCGGGUCCGGGGCGAUGGUGGCCGGGUCGAGCUGAGCAGCCCCCGGGCCGGGUUCAGCAGUCCCCGGGCCGGGUUGAGGUGCGGCCGGGUCGUCGAGAACGUGGAUGGACUCGGAGUCCGGCGAUGUCUUGACGGACGGCUUGCGCAGGUGCUCGAGGGAGACGUCGGACGGAAAGGCUUGUUGUGACGAGGCGAUCUUGGCGAGCGUGUCGGCUGCUUCAUUCUCCGCACGCGGGACGUGGAGGAACUCGCUGCCCUCGAAGGAUCCGGACAGCUUCUGGACGAGGAAGCGGUAGCUUGCCAUGUUGGAGUCGCGAGCGUCCCAUUCGCUGGAGCAUUGCUGCACCACCAGGUCCGAGUCGCCGUAGCAUAGGAUGCGCCGGAUGCCGAGUUCCUUGGCAUGCCGGAGGUCGUGCACAAGGGCUUCGUACUCGGCGACGUUGUUGGAGGCGGCGAAGUGGAUCUGGAGCGCGUAGCGGAACCGGUCGCCCUUUGGGGAUGACAGUACGAUGCCGACCCCCAAGCCGAGUCGCAUCUUGGACCCGUCGAAGUGCAUGCGCCAAUGCGUCGAGUCGGGAGGCGGUGGCAAGUACUGGGUCUCGGUCCAGUCGACGAGGAAGUCGGCCAGGGCUUGAGACUUGAUCGUGGUGCGGGGUUCGUAGAGGAUGGUGUGGCCGGCUAGCUGGAUCGCCCACUUGGCGACCCGGCCAGAGGCAUCCCGACACUCGAUGAUUUCUCCGAUAGGCACCGUGCUGACCACGGUGACAACGUGCUCUUGGAAAUACUACUUCAGCUUCUUGGCGGUGAAGUACACGCCGUAACACAUCUUCUGGUAGUGCGGGUAGUUCUGCUUGGAGAUGGAGAGCACCUCGCUCAGGUAGUAGACUGGGCGCUGGACAGCUUGGAUCUUGCCCUUCUCUGGUCGCUCGACCACCAGCACCGUGCUGACCGCCCGCGAGGUCGCAGAUAUGUAGAGCAACAGCGGCUCCUUGUCAGUCGGCGCGUCUAGGACUGGUGCGGUGGAGAGCAUGCGCUUGAGGUCUUGGAAGGCUUCGUCUGCCUUGCCGUUCCAUUCGAAUGGACUCGUCUUCUUCAUCAACUGGUACAGGGGUAGCGCCCUCUCGCCCAGCCGGCUUAGAAACCGGUUGACCGAGGCCAAGCAUCCGGUGAACUUCUGGACAUCGUGCAGCCGAGCCGGCUUGCGCAUGCGCUCGAUGGCCUUGAUCUUCUCCGGGUUCGCCUCAAUGCCGCGUUCCGAGACGAGGAAGCCGAGUAGCUUUCUGGCCGGGACGCCGAAGACGCAUUUUUCCGGGUUAAGCUUGACCUUGUAUUCACGGAGGUUGGCGAAGGUUUCCUUCAAAUCGUCGAGGAGCGUGAGGUGCUGCUUGGUCUUUACCACGAUGUCAUCCACGUACACGUGGAUAUUGCGGCCGAGUUGCGUCAGCAGGCAUUUCUGCAUGCAGCGCUGGAAGGUGGCGUCGGCGUUCUUCAAGCCGAACAACAUGGUGAUGUAGCAAUACGCCCCAAAGGGCGUGAUGAAGGAUGUCUUCAGGGCGUCGGCCGGGUCCAGCUUGAUCUGGUGGUAGCCGGAGUAAGCAUCCAGGAAGGACAGGAGCUCACACCCGGCGGUCGAGUCGAUGACUUGGUCAAUCCGCGGGAGGGCGAACGGAUCCUUGGGACAUGCCUUGUUGAGGCUGGUGUAGUCGAUACACAUAUGCUAGGUCUUGUUCUUCUUCAGGACGAGGACUGGAUUGGCUAGCCACUCGGGGUGAAACACUUCCAUUAUGAAGCCGGCCGCCAAAAGCUUGGCGACCUCUUCACCAAUGGUUCUUCUCUUCUCUUCGGAAAAUCGUCGUGGGGGUUGACGGACAGGCUUGGCGUCCUUGCGGACGUGAAGUUUGUGCUCGGCGUACUUCCUCGGGAUACUCGGCCUGUCCUUGGGGGUCCAUGCGAAGAUAUCCCGAUUCUCACGGAGGAAGUCGACGAGCUCGCCUUCCUAUUUGCUGUCGAGGCGGGCGCCUAUGACAACGUACUUGCUGCAGUUGGGGUCCUCUGGGUUGAGCUUCACUUUCUUGGUCUCCUUGGAGGGCUUGAAGGCGGCCUCGUCGGUCGGGUCCGGGGUCGGGAUCGACGCGGCGGAGGCCUCGCCUGCCAGGGCGACGAUCCGGUCGAGCUGGCGCCGCUCCUCGGCAAUGACCAGCGACUCGGCCAACUUGGCGCCGUCUCGGGCGCACUCCAGGGACUUGCGAUAAUCGCCGGUGAUGGUGACAAGGCCCUUGGGACCCGGCAUCUUCAUCUUCAGGUACGCGUAGUGGGAAACCGCCAUGAACUUGGCGAGCGCAGGCCGGCCCAGCAACGCGUGAUACGCGCUGGACAGGUCCACCACCUCGAACCAGAUCGGUUCGCGCCGGAAGUGGCUGCUGUCGCCGAACAGGACAUCUAGCCAGACCCGGCCAAUGGGGGAGCAGGAGAGGCCGGGCACGAUGUCGUGGAAGAUUGUUCGGGUCGGCUCCAGGUCCUCGGCCUUGAGGCCGAGCUUGGUCAUCGUGUCGCGGUAGAGGAUGUUGAUGAUGCUGCCGCCGUCGAUGAGGACUCGGGAGAACUUGCAUGUGCGCCGCGCGACGAUGGUGGGGUUGAGGACGAGGGCGUAACCACCUGGACUCGGCAUGACUGCCGGGUGAUCCUCCCGGGUCCAGGUGAUCAGGCGAUCCGACCAAUGCAUGAACUCCGGCUUGGCCGGGACGACGGUGUUCACCUCCUGCCGAAGGAGGCGCUCGCUGCGCUUGUCGUCGCGAGGCUGGUGAAGACGACGUAGGCCGCGCUCUGGUCCGGGUAGGCAUCGUCGCGCAUCGUGCCGCCAGCUGGAGGCGGCGGCGGAGGCAGAGGCGGCUGUCCCGCGCCUGGAGCCGGAGCCGGAGGAGGCGGGACGUCGCCCCUCAUGAUGCGUUUGGUGAUGGCGCACUGCCGAAGCGUGUGCGUGGAGGGUCUUGCGCCGCUGUGGUGCUUGCAGGGGGCGUCGAGUAUCUGCUCGAAACUCAUGGCGGGUUGCCAUGCCAUCUUGCCGGUUUGCCAGCGCUUCGCCGCCGGGUCCGCCGCGGGCUUGGUGGCCGUGACGAGCCGGUUGUCGUGACGCGACGCCGGUUGGUCGGCCUUGCGCUUGUUGUUCUGGUGAUGCUGCUGCCGGCUGCUUUCGCCGGCCGGCUUCGGAGGGGGAAACGGCUUCGCCUUGCCGGCUUCAUCCAGCGCCACCUGGAUCUUCAUGGCGGAGUUGGCGUUGGCGUACUUGUCCGCCGUCACCAUGAGCGCGGCCAUGGUGGCCGGCUCGGAGCGUAGGAGCUUGUGCUUGAGGAGGGUGCCGUCUCGGCACCCGCUGACGAAGUACUGGAUCGCCUGGACUUCAUGGACGCCCUCGCAGCUGUUCCGGAGCUCGGUCCAGCGUGCGAGUUACUCGUGACCGGUCUCCAUAGGCCCUUGCACGCACACGGCGAGCUGGCUAGGGCGGCCGGGUCGCUUGUAGGUCCCCGUGAAGUUGCGGACGAAGGCUUCCUUGAAGUCCACCCACGUGUUGAUGCUGCCCAUCGGCAAGCUGCUCAACCACGUGCGGGCCGACCCUUGGAGCAUGAGCGGUGUGUAGCGCACGGUGAGACGACGAUUGGCACCGGUGAUGCCAAUGGCCGUGGUGUAGUCAGUGAGCCAGUCUUCUGGCUUCACCGUCCCGUUGUACUUGGGGGUGUCGUGGGGGAGCAUGAAUCCUUUGGGGAAGGGCUCCUCCCGGAUGCGCGGUCCGAAGCACGUCGGCCCGAUAGCGCCGCUCUCCUCCACCUCCAGGGAGCGAGCAAGCUGAUCGAGGCAGUGGCGAGCGUCGGCGUCGUCGAUGGCGCGUGGGCCGAGUCGACUUGCGGCCAGGCCACGGGGGGCUGGGUCGGUUGGAGCCGGACGCCGGCCAUGCUGGCCGGGUCCGCGCUGAGUCUCUGGGACGGGCUCGUCGCCCAAUCCGCCGGCGGCUGUAGCGGCCGGGUAGCGCCGAGUCCGGGCUCAGCCGGAGUACGGCUCGCCGGGUGGCGAGGAAGCGGCGUGCAGAAGUUCGCCGGCCCCGCCAAGGCGGGCGGAGCCGGAUCCCGCCGGCUUGGCAAGCUGGUUGAGGCGGUCCUGCUGGGUGUUGGCGGCGUGGAGGAGUUCACGCAUCCGCCCGAUGCGCUCUCUCAGCUCCUCACCCGCGAGCUGGUCCAGGCCGACUGCGGCUGCCUGGGCAGCGCGCAUGUUCUUCGCUGGGGUCUCGUAGACGGUUGGGACGGCGCCGAGGGCCCGGCCGAUCGUUCCUCCCCGGGCACGCAUAUCGGCGACCUGGCUCGGCUCGGCCGCGGCGGGCGUGAAUCCGUAGGCGGCGUCGCGCUCCAGCUGAGCGGCGUCUAGGCGACGCUGAGUGGCAGCGAGCGUCUCAGAUAGGUCCAGCAUCUGCUGGCGUCUUUCCUCGAGCUGGGUCCGGGCCUCAGCGACGUUGGUGGCAUCGACGUCGGUGCCGAUGGGGAUGCGGAGGCUCUGCAUCACGACGCGCAACAGAUCGGACGGCUCGAUCCGAUCCGCCGCGGCCCUGGCUUCGGCAGCCUUCCUUGUCUUGCUCGACGAGGAGGAGGCGCCGUCGCGGGUGACGAAAACCUCCACAAGGACGUCCAUUGCCCCGGCGGAAACGCCGCCGCCGAGGGAGAGGGGAGAGUCAGAGUAGCUGAGCACCUCGCUGGGGUACUCGUCGGCCGCGAACGCACCGGAGAUGCGCAAUGCGGCGAAGGAGGCGGCAAGCGCGCCGACGACGUCGUCCGCCAGCGCGACGGACUCGUCGGUGUAGGAGAAGAGCCCCGUUUGAAGCGUGCUCCCGACCAGCUCCUCGAGCUGCCCCAUGGUGGGUGCCAACUGUUGUGGUGGGUGCACGACAGAUGCCAAGGGAUGGCUAAAGAGAGGAGGAGGCUCGAGGGCACUGGUGGGCUCCAGAGGCGAGGUUGGCAUGAGCGGGCGCGGGACGCCGGACAUACACAGGUUCGGGGCUCUCUGGAGAGAUAAUACCCCUAGUCCUGCCGAGUGUAGUUGGAUGAUCGAUAGUACAAGGUUGCUCCUGGAGCUGUAUGGAGGAGGAAGGAAGCUGGCCAAGGCUUGGGCUGCUCCUUCUCUCCGGUGUUGCUGUUUCUUGGCUAGUCCUCUGGUUUUGCUCUCAUGAAAGAGUUGCCCGUAUGCAUGAGGGCUCCCGGGGGGGUUUUAUAGUCCAACCCCCCGGGGGUACAAUGGUAAUGUUACAGGUCGGUGGGUCCGUAUUGUCGGUGUCCGGGGACCCGGGCUGGGCCCCGCUGAGGGCUUGUGGUUCGCCGGGUUCCCCGAGGUGCGGGCCCCGCAUGCCUAGGGGGACUGUGCGCCGUCUUGUCGAUCAUCAGGGCGUGGCCGAGUCGAGUCGCGUAUAGUGCUCUCCGUCAGGUUGACGCUUGCUCUCGUCAGCGGUGAGGGUGGGGGCACUGUAGCCACGCCGGCCCCGGUCAGCGGGUAGGUGAGGGGCACUGUUGCCUCGUUCCUGCUGACCAGAGGCAUGGGCGGGGCACUGUUGCCUCGGUCAUCGUUGAUUGAAGUCUCGUCCCCAUCAUAUGGCCUGGAUGGGACGGGAGUUGACCCAUGGCUGGAUUGCGUAGCACGCCAUGGGUGGCGCUGGCUUGUUGAGGAGGCUUUGGCCAUGCCGGGUUCGGCUGUCUUGCGCCAGUUGUUGAGGCCGAGUCGACACGUCUUCCGGGUCGGCUAGUCUGGCCGGCUUGCGGGGCUUGGCCGGGUCGAGCGACCCGGCCAAGCGCGCGCCGGUAUUGAGGGGCGGUGCCAGCCCCGUUAUUUUUUAAGAGGAUCCGGGUUCCGUUGCCUGCCCGGGGUCCAUCCCCCCGACACUUACCAUCUACUCUCUCCUACAUGCUGCAAGAUGGAGGUGGCCAGAAGCGUAGUCUUCGGCAGGAUUAGCUAUCCCCCACUUAUUCUGGCAUUCUGCAGUUCAGUCCACCGAUAUGGCCCUUUACACAUAUACCCAUGCAUAUGUAGUGUAGCUCCUUGCUUGCGAGUACUUUGGAUGAGUACUCACGGUUGCUUUUCUCCCUCUUUUCCCUCUUUCCAUUCUACCUGGUUGUCGCAACCAGAUGCUGGAGCCCAGGAGCUAGACGCCACCGUCGACGACCACUCCUACUACAUCGGAGGUGCCUACUACUACGUGCAGGCCGCUGGCGACGACCAGGAGUAGUUUAGGAGGAUCCCAGGCAGGAGGCCUGUGCCUCUUUCGAUCUGUAUCCCAGUUUGUGCUAGCCAUCUUAUGGCAACUUGUUUAACUUAUGUCUGUACUCAGAUAUUGUUGCUUCCGCUGACUCGUCCAUGAUCGAGCACUCGAGGCCCCUGGCUUGUAUUAUGAUGCUUAUAUGACUUAUUUUAUUUUUAGAGUUGUGUUGUGAUAUCUUCUCGUGAGUCCCUGAUCUUGAUCGUACACGUUUGCGUGUAUGAUUAGUGUACGAUUGAAUCGGGGGCGUCACAUCUAUCCUGUGCAUACUCGAUGAAUAUAGAUGAUGUACCUGUGGGUGAGUCCUGAUGUGGGCUGUGAAACAUUUCUUCUACUUUCCCAUAUGCAGAAAAUACUUGACUAAUCAACUUUGGAGACACAAAUUGUUGAUACUGAUGUACUACCACAUGAAGGACUCUGCCUUGGGGAUUUGGAAUUGUAUCAAACAUGUUUUGUGCAUGGUUACCUUCACUUCCAGAUUGAUGUCCAGGUUGAGACCAUGUGUCGAACACCUUGUGGGCGACACCUGAAUUUCCAGUUUUGCCGCUGCCAGACAUCANNNNNNNNNNNNNNNNNNNNNNNNNNNNNNNNNNNNNNNNNNNNNNNNNNNNNNNNNNNNNNNNNNNNNNNNNNNNNNNNNNNNNNNNNNNNNNNNNNNNNNNNNNNNNNNNNNNNNNNNNNNNNNNNNNNNNNNNNNNNNNNNNNNNNNNNNNNNNNNNNNNNNNNNNNNNNNNNNNNNNNNNNNNNNNNNNNNNNNNNNNNNNNNNNNNNNNNNNNNNNNNNNNNNNNNNNNUGGGAUUUUACUCUGAAGAAAGUUUCUUCAGAAACCAGCUCCAAGCCCCGAGCCGCACCUGAGUUAGCUGCCUCCACCGCCCAGCCGUCACUGCAACACACACGGCCGCCGGAGCCCGGAAGGGAAACAAAGGAUUUUACAGGAGAUCCCAACUCCGAUCCUUCACUAAGGCCAAUCUCCACCGAGGAAGAACCAGCUCUGAUUACCAAUUGACAGGCCCUGGCUAGGGAUUUGAGGGAACCGAGAGGGAUUCAAAGAUGAAACGCAAAGGAACAGAGGAAUCUCAACAUGUCACAGGAAUUCACUACUCUCAGAGGAAGGCUUUACUAGAAUUUAGGGAUUACAAGGAAGCUUAUGUCGGCCAGAACAUGGCAGCGGCUAGGGUUCAACCCUAAUACAAGAGAUAAGAUGUCGAUGCCUUCUGGCUUACACGGGUUAUAUGGACCAACACACAACAAGCAAAGAAAGGAGAUACGUAGUAGGUUCUUGUGGACCCUUGGAUCCGAAAUGGACGGUGCCGCAGCGAAGGGACAAGUGAGUUGUGGGUGAACAAUAUAAGUGUCCAUUUCUUCAGAAUCUUCAGACUUUAGGAGCUCGCCAAGAUUGGGUCCUGACAAUUCCCCCCUUCUAAGACCACACUUGUCCCCAAGUGUGUUGCAUCAUGGAGGCAUGAAAGAGAUCAUCCACAGCUUUGGUAUCCAACCAAGGGUUUGAAAAUGUAGCAUAUGUGAAAAAUUGUUGAGGUAGAAUCCCACCAGUCCAUGUGUAGCAGAAUUCCCAAUCAAUGUAACAGCAAUGUAGUGUGUAUCAGAGUCAGGUUGUAAAGUCCUGUGGAAGGAAAUGGGAUAAUCCCCUGUACCAUGUGUUCCUUUUGCAUGUUGACCAUGAUCUACCUUGAAUACAAGACGCACCGCAUAAUUGUGG